rnacentral:rRNA from 1 species
AAGCGCUUGCAGCCAGACUUACCUGUAGUUGCUUAUCUGGACUUUUGUCCAGUGCACUCUUCUACGGGUAGGCCAGCAUCAGUUUGGGCGGUUGGAUAAAGGUCUCUGUCACGUACCUCCCUUCGGGGUGGCCUUAUAGGGGAGACGUCAUGCAACCAGCCUGGACUGAGGUCCGCGCAUCUGCUAGGAUGCUGGCGUAAUGGCUGUAAGCGG